UACGUAGGUGGCGAGCGUUGUCCGGAAUUAUUGGGCGUAAAGGGCGCGUAGGCGGUUUUUUAAGUCAGAUGUGAAAUCCCGAGGCUUAACUUCGGGCGUGCAUUUGAAACUGGAGGGCUAGAGUGCAGGAGAGGUAAGUGGAAUUCCUAGUGUAGCGGUGAAAUGCGUAGAUAUUAGGAGGAACACCAGUGGCGAAGGCGACUUACUGGACUGUAACUGACGCUGAGGCGCGAAAGCGUGGGGAGCAAAC
rnacentral:rRNA from 1 species